rnacentral:rRNA from 1 species
CACUCCUGCGGGAGGCAGCAGUGGGGAAUAUUGGACAAUGGGCGCAAGCCUGAUCCAGCCAUGCCGCGUGAGUGAUGAAGGCCCUAGGGUUGUAAAGCUCUUUCACCGGUGAAGAUAAUGACGGUAACCGGAGAAGAAGCCCCGGCUAACUUCGUGCCAGCAGACGCGGUAAUACGAAGGGGGCUAGCGUUGUUCGGAUUUACUGGGCGUAAAGCGCACGUAGGCGGACUAUUAAGUCAGGGGUGAAAUCCCGGGGCUCAACCCCGGAACUGCCUUUGAUACUGGUAGUCUUGAGUUCGAGAGAGGUGAGUGGAAUUCCGAGUGUAGAGGUGAAAUUCGUAGAUAUUCGGAGGAACACCAGUGGCGAAGGCGGCUCACUGGCUCGAUACUGACGCUGAGGUGCGAAAGCGUGGUGAGCAAACAGGAUUAGAUACCCUUGUAGUCCCA